GACAGAGGGUGCGAACGUUGUUCGGAAUUACUGGGCGUAAAGCGCGUGUAGGCGGCAGCGCAAGUCGGGCGUGAAAUCCCACGGCUCAACCCGUGGAAGUGCACUCGAAACUGCGCAGCUAGAGUCCUGGAGAGGAAGGUGGAAUGCUUGGUGUAGAGGUGAAAUUCGUAGAUAUCAAGCGGAACACCGGUGGCGAAGGCGGCCUUCUGGACAGUGACGUGACGCUGAGACGCGAAAGCGGUGGGGAA
rnacentral:rRNA from 1 species